rnacentral:rRNA from 1 species
AAGACUUUAGAUAUGAUCCAGAGUACCACGGGACACGUGAAACCCUGUGGGAAGCAGGAGGGACCACCCUCCAAGGCUAAAUACUACCUAGUGACCGAUAGCGUAUAGUACCGUGAGGGAAAGGUGAAAAGAACCCCGGGAGGGGAGUGAAAUAGAACCUGAAACCCUGCACUUACAAGCUGUGGAAGCACAUUUCUUGUGUGACCGCGUACUUUUUGUAGAACGGGCCAACGAGUUACGUUAAGUAGCAAGGUUAAGCACUUAAGGUGCGGAGCCGUAGCGAAAGCGAGUUUUAACUGAGCGUUCAGUUACUUGACGUAGACCCGAAACCGGGCGACCUACCCAUGAGCAGGAGGAAGCGAAAGUAAAAUUUCGUGGAGGUCCGAACCCACGAGCGUUGAAAAGCUCGGGGAUGACUUGUGGGUAGCGGUGAAAUUCCAAUCGAGCCCGGAGAUAGCUGGUUCUCCCCGAAAUAGCUUUAGGGCUAGCCUCAAGGUGA